rnacentral:rRNA from 1 species
GGGGUGCGCAGGCGCGAAAACUUCACACUGUGCGAAAGCGCGAUGAGGGAAUCCCAAGUGCUUGCUCGUAAGAGUAAGCUGUUUUUAUGUUUAAAACGCAUAGAGAGUAAGAGCUGGGUAAGACGGGCGCCAGCCGCCGCGGUAAUACCUGCAGCUCGAGUGGUGGCCGCUAUUAUUGGGCCUAAAACGUCCGUAGCCGGUUUAAUAAAUGCCUGGGUAAAUCGUGUAGCUCAACUAUACGAAUUCCAGGUAGACUGUUAAACUUGGGACCGGGAGAAGCUAGAGGUACUCCUGGGGUAGAGGUGAAAUUCUGUAAUCCUAGGGGGACCACCAGUGGCGAAGGCGUCUAGCUAGAACGGGUCUGACGGUGAGGGACGAAGCCCUGGGGCGCAAACCGGAUUAGAUACCCGGGUAGUCCAGGGUGUAAACGCUGCUUGCUUGAUGUUAGUCGGGCUCCGAGCCCGAUUAGUGUCGGAGAGAAGUUGUUAAGCAAGCUGCCUGGAAGUACGCCGCAAGAC